rnacentral:rRNA from 1 species
GAGGCGUGCGAGGGCUGUCGCUGACUUUUUGACACAAAAGUUGUGCACGCCGGAGUGCGUCCUCUCACAUAAAAUCCAUCUCACCCUUUUGUGCACCACCGCGUGGGCGCCCUUUGGGAUCGAAUCGAUCAGGAGGGGGCUUGCGUUUUCACACAAACCCCUUUUAAAAAGUGUAGAAUGACCCCACUUUGCGAUGACACGCAAUCAAUACAACUUUCAACAACGGAUCUCUUGGCUCUCGCAUCGAUGAAGAACGCAGCGAAAUGCGAUACGUAAUGUGAAUUGCAGAAUUCAGUGAAUCAUCGAAUCUUUGAACGCACCUUGCGCCCCUUGGUAUUCCGAGGGGCACACCCGUUUGAGUGUCGUGAAAAUCUCAACCUUCUCGGUUUUCUUCUGGACACCGAAGGAGGCUUGGACUUUGGAGGCCUUUGCUGGCAUCUCUCUCUUCUUGAGAGCCAGCUCCUCUUAAACGAAUUAGCGGGGUCCUCUUUGCCGAUCCUCGACAUGUGAUAAGAUGUUUCCAUGACUUGGUUUCUGGCUCUGUUGCCUUUGGGACCCGCUUCUAACCGUCUCGACGAGACAACGUUUGGGCGCGUCUCCCUUCUCGGGAGACUCUCUCAACCUCACGAACCCUUGA